AGGACAAACGCUGGCGGCGUACCUAAGACAUGCAAGUCGAACGGAGACUGUGUCUUCGGAUGCAGUUUGAGUGGCGAACGGGUGAGUAACGCGUAGGAACCCGCCUCGAUGUGGGGGAUAACACUUGGAAACAGGUGCUAAUACCGCAUGUGGUCGAGAGAAGAAAGGCUCUGUAAGGAGUCGCAUUGAGAGGGGCCUGCGUCCGAUUAGCUAGUUGGUGAGGUAAAGGCUUACCAAGGCGACGAUCGGUAGCUGGU
rnacentral:rRNA from 1 species